UGAGAUGGCGGAACUGAGGAACAAGCAAGUGAUUCUGAACAACUAUGUUGUUGGUUUUCCCAAAGAAUCAGACAUGAGCAUUGUUGAAGGAACCAUAACUUUGAAGGUUCCAGAAGGUUCCUCUGAUCUGCUCCUCAAAAAUCUCUACCUCUCAUGUGAUCCCUACAUGCGAUUCUUCAUGACCAAGGAGGACAACCCUUUGGGAAUUGGCACCUACAAGCUUCACUCUGUAACUCACUCACUCUUUCACCACACAAUCUUCACUAUUUUCUUACUAUUAUUAACUUCAAUCAUAUAUUAUACAUUAAAUUUUAUGAUAUCUAUGUUUUCAUACUUUUUUUUUGUUUUUGUUUAGUUGAUAAGUAAAUCCAUCAUAAGUUUUGAUGCUAAAUUUUUGCACCUUCUGGUUAUGUUCAUGUAAUGGAUUUUUUUGGAAGAAAUAGGUUAAUGCUUAAGUUAAAAGUAGUUUGUAAAGAAUUUAAUAAAGAGAGGUUCUUUAAGAGUAAUUAAUGUUAUAUAAAGGUAGGUGGUAACUGUUGAGUGAUUGCAGGCAUUGAGAGGAGAUGGUGUGUCUCAAGUGGUGGAAUCUGGACAUCCAGAUUAUAAGAAAGGUGAUUUAGUUUAUGCAAGGACUAGAUGGGAAGAGUAUAGUUUGAUCCCUUCAUCUGAGAUAUGUUUGAAAAUUGAGCACACUGAUCUCCCACUUUCCUACUAUAUUGGUGUUCUUGGUAGGUAUAUUCUCAAUAAUUUCAAUUUAUGGUUUAUUCUCAUUUUCGGUUCAUUAUAAAGUGGUAGAAAAUCAAUUUGGUUCUUCAUAUUAAACUUUGAUGGAAUUUUGUUUAAAAUAUUUUAAUUUGGUUCUUUUUAUUAGAUUGUUUUUGGCGUCUUUAAGUAUGAAAUUUCAUAUGAAAUACAUGUACAAUGACAUGAUUAUUAGGGUGAAAUUUGUCCCUUUUAUGUAGUUGUUUAGGUCAUGUUCACCCCUUGUUUUGAGUGUGCCCUUCUCUUCCGCUGAGUUGAGUGGUUUGCUUCACUGCUCAUCAAUAUCUGAGUACUAAUCUUCAUCAUCUUGUAGUUAUAAUGGAUGGGGGUUGCAAAACCAUAUGGUGGUGGAAGUAGGAGUUCCUUCGUUGCAUUCAUUUGCCACUGUGGAUAUUUUUUUGUAUUAAUAAUGUUAGAAAACAAUUUUGGAUAAAUAGAUCCUUAAAAUUUCAUGAAAUAAGUUUUGAUAUGCUCCCACAUGAUGAUAUAAGACAUGAUAAAGGCCCACCACUACUAAGGAUGGAAGAGAGAGAAAAUAGAAAAGUAAUACCAUUUUAUGAAAUUAACCCUGGAAAAUCUUACAAACAAGUUUUAAACAACCAAUUACGUUCUUUAGUUCAAAUAUCAACAAAUAGUAUUAUUACAAUUACAACUCUUUCAAAAAAACAUAUUGUUCAUGUAUGCCAAUAUAGUGCCACAUCGCUCAAGAGUCGAGUCCAAGGACAAUUUAUAUACUCCCUAAACCCAUUGAUGCGCCUUUUCAAGAUAAAACCAUGACGGAGCACCAUCAUAAUUGCUCAAUUACUACUAAGAUACACUAACUGCAAUAGUUUUUCAUGUUGCUCAAUAGUGUGGUUUUUCAUGUUUUAAAAACAAUCUCUCUUUGUAAAUGUAUAGAUUAUUUAUGCCUUAGGGACUAGUUUAUCAUAGGGUCGGAAUCCAAAAACAAUCUCUUUGUAUAUGCAAAAGCAAAGCUUUGUCAAUAACAUUCUCUCAUUCCUUUGAUAGUUUGAAGCCUUUUGACAUUGAUGCUCAUUAUUAUUCAACAAACAUUGUCUUGUUAAAAUGAUCACCUUCCUUGUGCAAUCAAUUUCUUGUAAUGCAUAGUUAGGCUUUUUCAUUAAAGUGGGCAAUCACACCCAUGAAAUUCAUUGUCAUAACAUAAAUGAGUUUCCCAAAAAAACUGAAAAAAGACCCACCAUUGUGGGACAACUUUCCUAGCCAUCUCUUUCCUUUCUUUCACCCUUUUAUGUACCAUGUUAUUUCUAUCCAUUAACUUUUUUAGCCCUUUCUCAAUCUCCCCCGCCAUUACAAGAUCACCACCCCUUUUAUAGUCCAAUCUCAACUUCACUACUAAUCUAAUCUCCAUUACCGUCCUAAAAGUAUUCAAGUGUUGUUCUGCAUAAAUAGGCAUGUCAAUAUUGGUACUCCAAACCACAAGCUUUCCAAAAUAGAGUCCAUCCACAAUGAGACACAAAUUCCCCAAUGGCUUUGUGGCCAUAACCUCCAUUUGAGGUGCCCGAUAACAUAACAUUCCCUUACCUUCUGCCCUCUUUAAAAAUGCUUUUGGUAAGGUUCACUCUUCAUUUUUUGUUAUGGUUGGUGGAGAACACAUAAUCCACAAGGAUAACCCUAAAAUUGUUUUCGAGCAUUCUUAACAAUUGUAAUUGUUCUAAAUACAAAAAAUCUUCACAAUGACAAAUGUACUUGUUCUACUCCCACCACCAUGAGAGGAGUUACAUUAGAUUUGCAACCCUCAUUCAUUACAACUACCAUAUGAUAAAGAAUGGAUAUCCAAACAUUGAUGAGCAGUGAAACAAACUCCUCAACUCAAUAGUAGAGAAAAAGAACAUACUCAAAAUAGGUGAAGAAGGUGACCUGGCAACUAUAUAAAAGGAGCACAUCUCGCCCCAACAAUUCUUCUAUUCUUUAUGUGUUUUAAAUGAAAUUCCAUGUAUCCAACUUUGUCUACAAAAUCAUCAUUGAGUCAUUUUAAACAAAAUUGGCACCACAUUAAACAAAAUAAAAAUUAAGGGACAAAAUUGAUUUUUUGCCACUUAUUUUGGGACCAAAACUGGUAUUAAACCUCAAUUUAUUUUCAUUCUUAGUGAAUGAUGCACUUGAUGUUAGUAUGACCUUCAUUAAUAACAUGAAGCUUUCUUUUCAUAAUUACUCAUUUCUAUUAUCUAAAAUAUCAUUUCCUAUUGUUUUACCUAAGAUUCUAGUAAUGGCCAUGUAAUGUAGCCAUGUCAGAUACUUAUUCAUUUCAAAUUUUGCAUGCACAUUCUGUUUCACCUAAAUAAAUCUUAGUGAGUUUGCAUGCAAGCUUAUGAUAUUGUAAGCUUUUAUAUAACUUUGGUGUGACAUUUGACCCAUGUUAUUUUCUUUUUUGAAUGAUGCUCAACAAGCUUCCAUGCAAGCUUAUGUAUGUUCUUGCAUGAUUUUCUAUAAGUUUGUUAUGCCUUUUAACCUAUAACACUAUAUUAUUUUAUCACAGGUGUGUCAGGAUUGACUGCUUAUGCUGGCUUCUUUGAAGUAGGUUCUCCCCAAAAGGGAGAUAAUGUUUUUGUUUCAGCUGCCUCUGGUGCUAUUGGUCAACUUGUUGGCCAAUUCGCCAAGUUGAACGGUUGCUAUGUUGUUGGAAGUGCAGGAAGCAAAGACAAGGUAUUUAUUUCUUAUUGUUAUGUAUUUGGAUAAAAAUGAAUAAUAAGCUUCAAUGUUAGAAUAUUUAUUCUAUUAUUUAAAAUACCACUCUUUUCAAUUCGCUUGGUUGCAACAAACCAAAACCUUUCUAUGACAUGAAUAUCCUGAUUAUAGAAUACAUUGGAUUUUUUUUUCUUCCAAUUAUAAUUCUUUAGCAAAGUAAACUUUUUAGGUAAGUAACAUACUUUAUGAUUUUCGAAAAUUGUUGUUGGAAUAAAAAUAGAUGAAUUUUGUUUUAUUUAAUGUAGGGAAUAUUAUUUGUUCAGUUUCAAAAUUUUCAUUAUUUUAUAUAUUAUAUAAAUUAGAAAAUAUGUAUUAUUGUAUUUCUAUGUUCGUGUUUGUUUGCAAUGUGUCCAAAACUCCCAAAACUUUCCAUUGCACCAUAUUUUUUUAUGAAUAGUGUUAUAACAGAAAGCAUUAAUAGUGUUUGCUUAUGGUUGUUGUGAAUUUUGAAUGGAAGACUAGAAAUUAGUUUUCCUUUCACUUAUAAGCACGUGUCUUGUAAUUAGGUGGAUCUUUUGAAGAAUAAAUUAGGAUUUGAUGAAGCUUUUAACUAUAAGGAAGAGCCAGACCUCAAUGCAGCUUUGAAAAGGUUAGUACAUAACAUUGUCCCAACAGAGAAAUGUGACUUUAUAUUGUUUAUUUCCAUAAAUAAAAGGUUACAAGUUAUAGUACCUAGUGACACGAGCAAUAUUAAUGAGUAGUGACAAUGGAUAUAAAUUUUGAAAUCAGGUAUUUUCCAGAAGGCAUUGACAUUUACUUUGAGAAUGUUGGGGGCAAGACACUUGAUGCAGUACUUCCAAAUAUGAGACUCCAUGGUCGCAUAGUUGUUUGUGGAAUGAUCUCACAAUACAAUCUUACUCAACCGGAAGGUGUAACAAAUUUGGCACAUCUCAUAUUUAAGAGGGUUAAAAUGGAAGGUUUUCUUAUAAUUGAUUUCUUCCAUUUAUUUCCCAAAUUCUUGGAGUUUGUCGUGCCUCUAAUUAGAGAAGGAAAGGUUGUGUAUGUUGAAGACAUUGUUGAAGGUCUUGAGAAUGGCCCUGCAGCAUUGGUUGGCCUCUUUAGUGGUCGCAAUGUCGGCAAACAAGUGGUGGAUGUUUCUCGGGAGUAAAAUUCUAUAAAUACACUCUUAUUCUCUAAGCUUUAUUUCUAAAUUUUCAACUUUCCAUUGGAUAUUAAAUCUUGUUUUUAUGGUCUAUGUAAUCAAAUUCCGUUAUGCUUAGAAUAAUUACUGUAUGAUGUUAAUUUUCUUUUGAAACAAUUGGCAAAAGGACACCCAAUCUUAACAAGUAGACAUUAUUAAGUAUUUAUCAUUUUUCAAGGACUUGCUUCAAUGUUAGCAUAAUUUAUAUUUAUGAAUAGCUAAUGUGAUGCAAUCCACGAUGAUGGAUUGUAGAAGUUGAAUGCAGUGGCAACGAAAUGGAGAAGAGUUUGCACCGAGAAUGAGAGAUUUUGGUGAGGAAUUGGAAUAGUUUUGGUGUUAGGAAGUAGAAAUAGGUUUGGCCAACUUUCUAGCUAUUACUAGGCCUUUGAGGCUCUCUAGCAAAAGGAGAUUUAGGAGAGAAUGAGCUUCAUUUCAAAAUUCAUUCAGUUAAUUGCAAAUCUCAAUACAUGAGAGUAUUAGGAGUAUUUAUAGAUGAAGGUAGCUUGCUCCUUAAACUACCAUAACUCUAGUUAAGUAAACUUAACUAUGGUGAGUGUGGUGGCUUAAAGGGGUCUGUGUACUCUUCUUCUAGAGUAUCUUUCUUUCAUCUAUAAAAUACUCUAAGGAAAUUUAAAAUACAAAAUCUUAUAUUGGUGGUUCUGCAUCAAGCUCCCUCCCUUCAAAAGGAUGUGUCCUCGGAUCCAGUUUAAAGUGCCACCUUAUGUGAAAUGAAUGACUUUAAGAUCUUUCUGGUUCAUGAAUCUACCUGAAAAAAGACAACAAGCAUAAGGAGAAUGCAAAAGAAUAGAAGUUGAUGGAUGUAGAAACUGAAAACAAGCAAAGUAUGUGGUAUGGUACCUUUAUGGUGGUUCUUAUUUCCUAAGGUAGGAAAAUAAAACACUAAACAAAAUGGAUAAAACUACGUAGAAUAAGAAAAAAAUAUAAUAGGAAGAAGAAUUACCUCGAUUAGGUGAUACAAGUACGUAAUUAAUUUCCUUUGUCGAGGUAACAUGUUCAUUUGAUUUAUGCGAUGUUUUCAUUAUUUGUACCUCAUGAAGUUGCUUCCCGUGUAUUACUAGCAAGGCUUCACAAGGUGUUUGAACCAAAUCUGGUUUAGCUCCAUAUAAAAGGUUUGCAUCAAGUAACUCCUCACAGGAUUGUUUUAAGAAACUUAUAUUCUUUUUUUUAUACAGCCUUAGACAAAGAUUUGUAAAAGAUGAAAAGUUUUUGUAAUGGGUUUUCCACUACUUGUGAGGGUAUAGAGAAACUAACAAUAAACCUAUUGUCUCUAUUAGUGAAAGUAAUUUUAUCAAAACAAUCCUAGUAAAUAAAUAUAUUGUGAAAAUUGCUAGGUUAUUUUAAUAAAACAUCUAAGGUUAUCAAACUCGAGAGUCUAAGUAGACUCGUGGGAGGUCCAUAAACCUGACUCGUAAACCCGACUCGUAGACUCGUAAGAGUAUAUUUUAUAUAAAAAUUUAAUACAAAAAAUAAAUAUUCAUGAUACUAAUUUUACAAUAUUAGAAUUAAUAAAUUCAUUCAUAUAAUAAUUAUCUAACUUCUAGGUGGUGGUGUGGAAUGAAGAUGUACUACCAUUGAUACAAUUUGAACCAGAUCUUACGAGUUGAAUUUGCAGAAACAUAAGAAUAAAAACCAAUUUAUCUUAAUCUUAUUUCAGUCACUCUAAAUAAAUAAAAAAUCAACCUAAAAUAAAAAAUAACUUUAAAAGAAAUCAACCCAAAUAUUCCAUUUUCGAUUUCAGAUUCACCCAACACAACCAACCCUCAAUCAUGAAACCCACAACCCAACCUUGAUCGCGAAAUCAAACUCGCAAACCAAAGGCAACAUGAAAAUUAAGGUAGAACGCGAUAACAGUGGCGACACGGGGGCGACGGUGAGCAAAGAUGAAGGCAACAAUGAGGGAAGGAGAGGCAACAAAAAGGCAAUGUGAUGUGAUUCUUGGACAUGCGAGACGAUGAGGCACAACCGGAUAAUGAUGAGACAACGAUGAGGUGAUGACAAUGAAGCCAAGUGAAACGUGAAUGCAGCAAGUUCAGUUCAGGUUGGAACGAACCCUAAAAACCUUGACACUAAGCAAAAGUGGGUCAUUUUGGGCAUUUCUUUAUAACUCGUUUACUCGGUCUCCAACUCACGAGUUUGAUCGAGUCUAGUCUGGGUUUACUCAAAGACCAGUCUACUCACGAGUUCACUCGUGACCCAUCAGUAGACUCUUAAACUCAUAAGGGUUUACAAGUUAACCCUAGAGUUUGAUAACCUUGAAACAUCACAAGCUUCUAUAGGAAUAAUGUGACUUAAAACAUUUGUAUCAUAAUGUCCUAAAGAAGGCUUGACUUUCAUGCAUUGAAUUACAACUAAAUCCCAUCAUUUUGAAUCAAAAGAUGGUUAUAAGAUGGAAAAAGGGGUAUUUAUGUUGUAUUUCAACAUUUGAAUAGACAAAGAUAUUUGAAUCAAGAAAAGAGUCAUUGGAAAUACUAGUAUUAGACUCCUUUCCUUUGGGCUCAAUAUUAAUCAACUCUUUAGAAAAUUUCUUUAUCCUAUCUUUCUUUUCUAUUGCUUCUCUUUCUAUCUUUACUUUUUCCUCUCUUUCUCUCUUUUCUUUUUCCUCUCUUUCUUUCUCCUCACUUUCUUUUUCUAUUUUUGCUAUCUCUUCUAAUUUCUCCUUUUCUCUCUCUUUUCAUUUUCAAUGAAUUUCUGUAAAACAAUUUGAUCUUCUUUGACUUAAGUAGGAGUGAGAGGACAAAGGGUAAUCCUUUUCCCUACAUGACGAAAACUAAUUUUAUUUGAUUUUCUAUCAUGAAUAGCUUUAUGAUUAGAGAGCCAUGGGUGGCUAAGUAAAUGAUGUCCAACAUCCAUUGGAAUAAUAUCACAAAAAAUGGUUUUUUGAUAAACUCUAAGGUUAUUAGAUUACUUACUUGGUUACUCACAAUAAUACCACCAUCCUCAUUAAUCCAAUGUAACUUAUAAGGUUUUGGGUGAGGUAUGGUAAGAAGAUUUAGCUUGAGUACCACUCUUGCACUACAAUAGUUAGAAUAUGACUCAUUAUCCACAACUAAAGUACAUAUUUCAUCAAAAACUUUGCAUCUUGUGUGGAAUAGAUUUUCCUGUUGUGACUAUUCCAGAUCAUUAGAAUGGCUAUCAAGUAGUUUUCUCACCAUUAAGCAUUUUUCGUGAGAAAAAGAAUAUUUUUUAAUGAAAGGAUGAGGAAUAGAAAGAGUUUUUAAACUUUUUGCUGGAUAUGUAGAAACAUGAGGAUGAACAAAAGAAAUUUUCUUUUUGUUAGUAGUAUGGAUUAUGCUAUGAUCAUCCAUUAUUGAAAAGCAAAUGUUUUCAUAAAUAUUUAAAAAAAAAAUUCAAGUUGAGUGAUAAAAGAAAUUUCAAUAAGAUGUUUUAGUUUUGUGAAGUAAAUCAAGGAUUCAAGUGUAAGUUUUCUCCAAGUUCACUCCUAGGAAAGUGAGGUGAGUCACAAUGGACUUCUUAAGUACCAAGACUUUCCUAGCCUGAGUUUACCCAAGAUGGUUCAAAAUAUUAGUUUCCUCAAAGAACUUCAAAACCAUUUUAGAAACAGUAAUGAGUAUGGGAAUGCAAGAAUGAUCUUAAAACCAAAAGAAAGGCAACACAAGCAAAAAUACCUAAGAAAAGCUCUAUAAAAGAUUAAAAAAAAAUAAGCGGACUGGUAGGGACUGUUUAAGAAAUUUAUAUGUAUAUUUACACAAAGCUUUUGAAUCUGAAAUUUUUAUUAUAUAUUCUGAGCUCAAAAAGGAACAAAAUGCCACAAAUUUGAGGGCAAACAAUAUGUAUACACUGGGAAACAAAUCAACCAAACUUCUAAAAACGCAAACAGUUUGGCAGCAAAGGAGAAAUUGGUUUCAAAACUGGAAGAUUGAAUUGUAAAAUUUAUGGUAAUUUUUCUACGACGAAUUUGAAGCUGAAAUUUUAACCAGUUCAAGGUAUCUUAUGAAACAAGAUAUGGUAAAAAUUUUAGGCUAAAACACCAUGUGCAAAAAAUUUAAAACCGAGAGGAAAAACUGACACUGAAACAGUUUGGCAAAUAGAAAAAAACGUCCUGGCUUUUGGAAUUUAUAACUUUUUUUGUAGGUGAGAUUAGGACAUGCUUUUUUAUUGCGUGUGGUAAACAUGUUAAGGUAUUUACAAAAAAAUUCCACACUAUUUGGAUGCGAAAUGAGGUCAAGAUAAUUUUUCAAAACUAAGUGUAAAUCAUACAAUUCUGCAAACUGAACAGAAACCUAAAGAAGAUAUAUCUGUAUGUAUUAGUAUAAUGUAUUUACAUACAGAAAAAUAUGUAUAUAGUUAUGUAUGGAAUUACAUACAAAUUUUGUAUGAAAUUACAUACGAAUUUUAAAAUUUGUAUGUAACAGUUACCUACGACAAUUUUACAUACAAAAUUUUGUCCGUAUAUAAUCUAUAUGCAAUUAUGUUUACAUACAGAUUUUGUCUAUUACAUACAAAUUUUUUAUGUAUUUAAUACCGAUUUUUUUUUUGUAGUGCAUGUUAAAUCUCUCUAAUACAUUUUCAUUAUAUUUUUGUUGUGAGAACCAUAAUUUUUCAUUUUUAUUGUCAUGAACAAUUUAAAAGCCACAAAUUUGUUUUUCCAGGACCCAAAUCUUUUAUUACAAAAGACUUGUUUAGCUUCCUUUUGAGACUUUGAAUCUCGCUCAUGUCAUGACCAACAAUGAACAAAGAAUAAGAAAAUAAUAAAAUUUCCAUUAGAAGUGUUUUUCACAAGAACGCAAUGACCAUAAGAGAUUUUAUCAUACCUGGCCCAUUAUGAAGAAAUCAAAUUUUCUAUACCACUAUAUUGGAGCAUGUUCGAGUUCAUGUUGUUCCAUAUAAAUCUCUUCCUCCAAGUCACCCUGAAAGGAAUAUCCUUUUCAAUUAAACAAUUCAAAGGUAUAAGGUUUCAUAGGUGUUUCACAACCAUAACCUAGGAAGAAAAAUUAUUUGACUCAUGACUAAUGAAUUAUGGGUAAUCCAUAUAAGAAACUACAAUACUACCUCAUACUGAAAAUCUUAAGAUAAUAAAUUUGUGGAUGUACCGUUCGGUAUCGAACGAGUCCGUCGCUCGGUCUCAGUGACUGACUGACCAUGCCAAAAUACAUUUAAGACACAAUAAAUGACAGUAAUGAUAAAUAUAGAAUUCCUUAAGAAUCAUGGUCACAUCCCACCAAAUUCGGGAGGCACCCCCGAGAAAUCAGUCAACACUGAGUAAGUGGAAGACAUUGAUUUAUAGCAAAUAUUCUUUAAAUAUACCAACAUACCUUCCUAUAUAUCAGGGAUCGUGAUAGAAAUCAAUCAACACUAAUUUGGUCCAAUAAAGCAAAGGCUCAUGACUAACACUAUAAAUAAACCCUCCACAGAGGUGUAAGGGACGCUUUAAUUAGUUUUCCCUAUACACUCUUAAUACAUAGUACUUACUUGAUUGUAGAAGUACUUUUUUCAAGUCAACCACGACCGAGCAUCAACAAAUAAGGGAUGAGAUUUAUUACAAUAUGUCAUAAAUUUAUAGAUGGAAAAAAAUAUUGUAUACGAAGAGAGAGAGGAAAUUUAGAGAAAAAGUUAGCUUCUCUUCCAAGGAAAUAAGAAUCUUCUUCCCUAGAAACUCAAAAGGAGGUACCUCAAAUUAUAGAUACACUAAUAAUAGAAAACUCCUACAAAUCAAGGAAAUGAUAAGCGAGAAAUAGAGAUAUCUUCUAAAAAGUUGAUUAAAUUGAGCCAAAAGGAAAGGAGUCUUGUACUAGCAUUGUUCAUAUUAUUUCCAAUGACUUUUUCCUUGAUUUAAACAUUUUGUUUAAAAAUAUUAAUCAACUUAAAACUCUCCAUAGAGAAAAUUAUCUUCAUCAUACUUGUCAAAAUUUUCAAAAGUUUUCUCUUAUGGCUAGUGUACUGGUAGCCUAAAACCGAGAGGUAUAGGCCGAGAACUACAUGUCCAAUAAUCAAAGUAAUAAAUUAAAACCGAAAGGUCUGGAUCGAAACCUAAAAGGAUAAUAAAAAUCAUAAUAAAGCCCAAUUUAAAUAAGGAACUUGCACAAGGGGGUGUAAAAGUAAUAAAAAAGGUGUGAGAAGAAAGUCCAAAAGUACUGUAGAAGGCCCAUCAACGAAACCCUAUAAAUAGGAGGUCAGCACAAGAAAAAGGUAAGAGUGAUUUUAUCUGAAAAACCAUUACAUUGUUUCUGACUUUGGCAUCGGAGCGACUUGCAGGUACAUCCCCCCACCUGUGAGGAAUACCAACCGAAAGGAGUAGCCGAGAGGUGCAGCCGAGAGGUGCAGCCGAGAGGAGCAGCCGAGAUGAAUAGCCGAGAGAAGUAGCCAAGAGGAGCAACCGCGAGUCCAGCCCAGUUGAGGAUCCAGCCCAAUAGGAAACCGAAAGUAUAGCCCGUAAUCAAAAGAUUUGUGAAAAAGGCCAUCUUGUUUCAGUUCGAGUGUUCUUGGUCCCUUUUUGUAAGAACAUUUUGGCGCCCACCGUGGGGCCGAGAACUAGUUAGAAAGAAAGGUAGAAGACAAGAUGGAUCAGAGAGAAGGACAGGAUGGAGAGCAAGUAGAUAAUGUCAGUAUGCCAAUGACAAUGCUGGUGCAGCUGCAGAAAGAGUUCGAGACGUUAAAAAAGAGUAAUGAAGAAGAGCUGAGUAUGUUAAGAGCCGAAAAUGCACGCAUGAGGAGAAAACUACAAGAGGAAACAGUUUUGAAUGCAUCAUUUGAAACUGUUCAGCCAAGAGCUCAAGUCAAUGAGAGGAUUUGUCAUAAUGAAAGUUCCCAAACGAAAAGAAGAUUCCUUGGAGAUUCUGAAGUUUUUGCAGGAGCAUCUUCAAGAAAACAUCCCUUUCAUGAUGUUAUAGUUGAUACUCCAUUGCCUGACAAUUGGAGAAGUUUAACUAUUGACAAGUAUGACGGAAGCACGGACCCUGAUGAACAUGUUGCGGUAUAUACCACGCAGAUCAGUCUAUAUACAUGGAACGAUGCUAUUAUGUGCAGAGUGUUCCCUACAACGUUAAAAGGGACAGCGUUAAGUUGGUUCACACGCCUUCCGCCUUUGAGCAUAGAUUAUUUUGACACAUUGGUGGAAAAGUUUGGAGCUCAGUUCGCAACUAGUCGUCCCCAUCAUUUAACCUCGAUUGCUUUGGUGAAUAUAAGGCAAGAAAAGGGAGAGUCGUUAAGAAUGUUCAUGGAACGUUUUAGGAAGGUUGCCCUGGGAAUUCAAAACCUCAGCCCAGAGGUUACCAUGCAUCAUAUGAUAACAGCACUAAAGCCAGGGCCGUUUGCUGAUAGUCUCUGCAAGAAACCCGCGACUAGUUUAGAUGAGCUAAGACAACGAGCGUCAAAGUUCAUGCAAAUGGAAGAACUGAGAGAGUUCCGGAAUCAGGCAAGGAUGGAUGAAGGUGAAAAAAAGGUGAUAGAAAAAGAAAGUGGACCUAUGGCUAGAAGAGCCAGGGAAGAAUUCAGAAGCCGAAAGUUCCAGCAAUACACACCCUUAAAUACAAACAGAACAAGAGUCUUACAAGAAGCCAUGGCGGCAGAGAUAAUACCACCAACUAGAAAAGCGCGAACACCGGAAAGGGCCGACCACACCAAACAUUGUGAAUAUCAUAAAAAUCAUGGCCACCAUACAGAGGAGUGUGUCGGGUUGAAAGAUAGAAUAGAAGAAUUGAUUCAGGCUGGGCAGUUGAAGCGUUUUGUUCAAGGAGGAAAUGUUAGGCUGAGGUCAAGUCCGGAGAGAAGAUUGAAAGGAAUCGAAACAGGGGGAAGAAGGGCAGAAAGAUUUGAAAGAGAAAAAAGAAUAGAAAAAAGAGAUGAUAGAAGAGGUGGAAGAUCAGAAGGAAGAAAUGANNNNNNNNNNNNNNNNNNNNNNNNNNNNNNNNNNNNNNNNNNNNNNNNNNNNNNNNNNNNNNNNNNNNNNNNNNNNNNNNNNNNNNNNNNNNNNNNNNNNNNNNNNNNNNNNNNNNNNNNNNNNNNNNNNNNNNNNNNNNNNNNNNNNNNNNNNNNNNNNNNNNNNNNNNNNNNNNNNNNNNNNNNNNNNNNNNNNNNNNNNNNNNNNNNNNNNNNNNNNNNNNNNNNNNNNNNNNNNNNNNNNNNNNNNNNNNNNNNNNNNNNNNNNNNNNNNNNNNNNNNNNNNNNNNNNNNNNNNNNNNNNNNNNNNNNNNNNNNNNNNNNNNNNNNNNNNNNNNNNNNNNNNNNNNNNNNNNNNNNNNNNNNNNNNNNNNNNNNNNNNNNNNNNNNNNNNNNNNNNNNNNNNNNNNNNNNNNNNNNNNNNNNNNNNNNNNNNNNNNNNNNNNNNNNNNNNNNNNNNNNNNNNNNNNNNNNNNNNNNNNNNNNNNNNNNNNNNNNNNNNNNNNNNNNNNNNNNNNNNNNNNNNNNNNNNNNNNNNNNNNNNNNNNNNNNNNNNNNNNNNNNNNNNNNNNNNNNNNNNNNNNNNNNNNNNNNNNNNNNNNNNNNNNNNNNNNNNNNNNNNNNNNNNNNNNNNNNNNNNNNNNNNNNNNNNNNNNNNNNNNNNNNNNNNNNNNNNNNNNNNNNNNNNNNNNNNNNNNNNNNNNNNNNNNNNNNNNNNNNNNNNNNNNNNNNUGAUGAAAGGUUGGAACCGAAAGAAGAGACUACAGCCGUGGUAUUAGGCCGGGACGAGAAGCAAUGCACUUAUAUAAGUGGAAGUUUGCCCGAAGAAUUGUUAAACAAACUUGUCACAUUGUUACGCGACAACAAAGACUUGUUCGCUUGGACACCGUCUGAUAUACCUGGAAUUGAUCCAAAGGUAAUUUGUCAUAAGUUGUCGGUAUGCCGAGAAGCAAGACCGAUAUCUCAGAAACGAAGAAAGUUGGGUGAAGAGAGAAGGAAGGCAGCAAUGGAAGAAACUGAGAAGUUAAUGCAAGCCGGUUUCAUUAAGGAAGCUCAAUAUACGACAUGGUUGUCCAAUGUGGUGCUUGUCAAAAAACCNNNNNNNNNNNNNNNNNNNNNNNNNNNNNNNNNNNNNNNNNNNNNNNNNNNNNNNNNNNNNNNNNNNNNNNNNNNNNNNNNNNNNNNNNNNNNNNNNNNNCCUUUGCCCAACAUUGACCGAUUGGUAGAUGGGGCGUCUGGACAAGAAAUGAUGAGUUUUCUUGAUGCUUAUUCAGGGUAUAACCAAAUACAGAUGUAUGAGCCAGAUGUGCCCAAAACAACUUUUACCACAGAUACGGCAAAUUAUUGUUACAAAGUCAUGCCUUUCGGCUUAAAGAAUGCCGGAGCAACGUAUCAGAGACUGAUGGAUAAGGUGUUCAAAGAUCAAAUUGGAAGAAACAUGGAAGUAUAUGUGGAUGAUAUGGUUGUGAAGUCAGAGAAAGUGGAGAAACAUUUGGGAGAUCUUGAGGAGGUGUUUUCACGCAUAAGAGAGUACAAUAUACGUCUCAACCCAGAAAAAUGUGUAUUCGGCGUCAAAGGGGGAAAAUUUCUAGGUUUUAUGUUAACCAACAGAGGGAUUGAGGCUAAUCCUGAUAAAUGUGAAGCAAUUAUGAAGAUGGGGAACCCGAAAAACCUGAAAGAAGUGCAGAGGUUAGUGGGAAAACUAAAUUCAUUGUCAAGGUUUUUACCGAUCUUAGCCGAAAAAACUAAACCGAUAAUAAGCUUGUUAAAAAAAUCAGAAACCUUUGAGUGGAAUGAAAAAUGUGAGCAAGCCUUCUCUCAAAUCAAAAGCAUGGUAGCUGAACCACCAAUCCUAAUCAAACCUGAGUUGACCCAACCCAUCAUAGUUUACUUAGCAACUUCCAAUGAAGCAAUAGGAGCAGCGUUAAUCCAAGAGAAUCCAGACCAGAAACCAAUAUACUUUGUAAGUAGAUCCCUUCAAAAUGCUGAAACCAGAUAUCCCAAAGUAGAAAAAGUUGCCUUGACCUUGGUGUACGCCGCAAGACGUCUUCGGCCAUACUUUCAGAAUCAUCAGAUAAUUGUGAGGACAGAUUAUCCAAUAUAAAAAAUCUUGAGAAAACCAGAACUUGCAGGUAGGAUGGUGACAUGGUCAAUGGAGCUUUCCGAAUAUGGAAUCAAAUAUCAACCGAGAGGACCAAUCAAAGCUCAAGCCCUUGCAGAUUUCAUCAUCCAGAUGCCGACAACAGCACAGCAGGAGCAGUGGAUAUUGUACGUAGAUGGCGCGUCAAGCAAAAAAGGAAGCGGAGCAGGGAUAGUACUUGAAGGACCAGACAACUUCCAAAUAGAGAUGGCACUGAGAUUCGAGUUCAGAACAUCCAACAACCAGGCCGAAUACGAAGCUCUUAUUGCAAGACUACUACUGGCGAGAGACAUGGGAGUUGAAAACGUCAUUUGCAAAAGUGAUUCUCAGCUCUCAGUGGGACAGGUACGAGGAGANNNNNNNNNNNNNNNNNNNNNNNNNNNNNNNNNNNNNNNNNNNNNNNNNNNNNNNNNNNNNNNNNNNNNNNNNNNNNNNNNNNNNNNNNNNNNNNNNNNNCCAUUAUUGAUGCAAUAUUAUCAUAAGGUAUUAAAUGUCAUGCAAUGUUUCAAACAAGCUGAAAUAAAAUAUAUUCCGAGAGAACUAAACAUGAAAGCAGAUUCAUUAUCUAAAUUGGCAAGUCAACAGCGGCAACUCCAACACAAUUCGGUUAUACAACAAACCCUCAGUCACCCGACAGUCGGUUUCGAGGAAUGUUGCAACGUCACCACUACAACAGAUGAAUGGAUAGAAACAUAUUUGGAAGCCAUAAAGAAUCAAGAGCAAGGUGUUCAAUUGGAUACAAAAAUGACCAAAAAAAUAGCUAGUUUUGUGUUAAUUGGAGAUGAACUCUACAAACGCGGAUAUUCGAUACCUUUGUUGAAAUGUCUCUCAAAAGAGCAAGCUCAAUAUGUAGUGAAAGAACUUCACGAAGGAAUAUGUGGCUUACAUUGUGGAGCUCGAACAAUGGCAACAAAAGUUUGCAGAGCCGGAUAUUAUUGGCCAACACUCCGAGAAGAUUGUGAAAUUUAUGUUAAAACAUGCAAGAAGUGUCAAGAAUUUGGAAGUUUGAACCAUAUACCAGCACAGGCGUUACAAGGAAUUACUUCUCCAUGGCCCUUUGCAAAAUGGGGAAUUGAUAUACUCGGUCCAUUCCCACUUGGCCGGGGACAAACUAAAUUCAUGAUAGUCGCUGUAGAUUACUUUACAAAAUGGAUAGAAGCAGAAGCACUGACUAAGAUAACAGCUCAGCAAGUUCAAACAUUUAUAUGGAAAAAUAUAAUAUGUCGAUUCGAAAUCCCACACACCAUAAUAACUGACAAUGGCCGACAAUUCAUUGACAAAAAACUUAUGGAAUUUUAUGCAGAUUUGGGAAUCAAGUCAACAAGCACUUCAGUUGAACAUCCGCAGACGAAUGGACAAGCGGAGGCUGCAAACAAAGUUAUUUUGGGACAAUUGAAGAAGAGGUUAGGAAAUGCCAAAGGUUUGUGGGCAGAGAAGUUACCAGAGAUCUUAUGGGCAUAUAGAUGCACACCACAAACUUCAACUGGUGAAACACCAUUCAACCUCACAUAUGGGACGGAUGCAAUGUUACCUGUAGAAGUGAAUGAACCAACGUUACGAAGGCAGAUAGAAGACUGGAAUAUUAACAAUGAAUGCUUGAGAACCGACCUUGAUCUCAUUGAAGAACUUAGAGAACGAGCAAAGAUAAAAGAGGCAGCAGUAAAAAGAAGAGCAAUGAAAAGGUUCAAUGCGAAAGUAAAAUUCAGAGAUUUUAAGGAGGGGGACUUAGUAUGGAGAAUGCGAACUGAUGCACGAAAAGAUCCGCGACAUGGAAAAUUGGCCUCUAAUUGGGAAGGUCCAUUCAGAAUACUCGAAAAUUUGCAAAAUGGAGCAUACAGAUUGGAAACUUUAGAAGAAAAAAUAGUACCGAGNNNNNNNNNNNNNNNNNNNNNNNNNNNNNNNNNNNNNNNNNNNNNNNNNNNNNNNNNNNNNNNNNNNNNNNNNNNNNNNNNNNNNNNNNNNNNNNNNNNNGAGAUGUACAAAGAAGGAUGUAUAUAUAUCUAUCCAUCAAUGAAGAAGCAUUAUCCAUUAACAAUGUGUCGUUCAUUCAUAAAACUUUCGGUCUUGGAUGAUUUCACUCUAAGUGAAAACCCACCCGAAAAGAAAUGUAUUCAUAAAACUUUCGGUCUUGGAUGAUUUCACUCUAAGUGAAAACCCACCCGAAAAGAAAUGUAUUCAUAAAACUUUCGGUCUUGGAUGAUUUCACUCUAAGUGAAAACCCACCCGAAAAGAAAUGUAUUCAUAAAACUUUCGGUCUUGGAUGAUUUCACUCUAAGUGAAAACCCACCAGAAAAAACAUCUAUUCAUAAAAUUUUCGGCUUUGGAUGAUUUCACUCUAAGUGAAAACCCACCCGAAAAAACAUCUGUUCAUAAAACUUUCGGCUUUGGCUGAUUUCACUCUAAGAGAAAAUCCACCCAAAAAUUCGUAUAUUCAUAAAAACUAGUGAUCUCGAACGCUUCCAUUUCCAAUAAAAAAUUCACUCGCAUACCAUACUUGUGUUAAUAAUAAAUUGGAUAAACCACUAAUAAAUUAUGAAUCAAUAACCCAUUAUGAUAUUUUACAAACUUGAUUUCAUGCGUUCAUAAAAUUACAAAUCAAUCCGCUAUUUCGAAACCACCUUCGGAUAAAAACCGACAGAUACUCGGUGUGUGAACAAAACAUCAUCGCAUUAAAAAUAAAUCGGUAGGUGGCAAUUAUGUAGAAUACGACCAAUAACGUAAAAAAAUAUAUAACAGUUGACAAUCUAACAAACUUUAUAUGUAUUAAGGUUUUCGAAACGACAUUACAUUUAACAAAACGAAUCCCCCCACAUUGAUUAGCAUAUCAAAAACAUCCAUACAUGGAUUUGUAGUUCAAAAUAAAUCUACUUUCGACAAGCAAACCUACGCCCUCCUAGCUCUCAAUAUUGACAUCUUCAGCAUCUGUGUCUGGGAUCUCGUUAGCCGGCACCAAUUCACCCUUGUAAAAAUCUUUUUUAACAUCAAAGUUGCCUUCAUCAAGUGGAAUCUUAUAAAAAUAUUUUGCUUGUUGAAGCGCUUUCUCAAAACCAAGUUGAUGUUGUUCAAAUAUAAAGCUUUCGGCUUCAAAAACGUUGGUCCUCAGCUGAUUUAUCUCUUCAUCCAUGAGUUUGAUGGCAUUCUUGUCGGCUUCGUUCGUAGACAAUAACGCUAACACCUUAUCAUUCAACAGUUGAUUCUCUUUACGGAGUUGAGCGUUUUCUUCACUUGACCUCAAGCUUUCAUUCUUCAAUUCAACAAUUUCUUUUUAAACUCUUCCUUUGCAACUUCUUGUUCACCUUUUUGUUUCUUCAUCUCUUCUAGUUGCUCGAACAAAGAGCUCUUUUUCUCCUUAUACUCAGCAAGGUCAGUCCUCAAUUUCUCAAAUUCAGAUAAAGACACACAAUUUCCAUUUUUCUCCUUCAUCAUUUUUCCAAUCAACAAACUUCUACUCGACAAUUCAAUAAUCGAAUCAGCCAAUGAAGCAGCAUCCAUAUUUUUCAACAUAUUAUAAGACGAUUCGUUAAAAGAAGUUUGGACAAACAUCGCAUACAUAGUUGAUGCACAAAAAAUGGUUUCAGAAAGCGGUUCCGACGACACAUUCUCAACGCGACGAUGACGCCGAGAAGAAGAGUGUGAUCUCUUGCUGCUUCUAUCUCGCUUCUUUGAUUUUUUCGAAGGCCCAGCAACAUCAACAUGAUGCGCAACUUCAACCACUUCAACAGGUGCAACACGCUCCGCUUCUUCCGUUUCAACAACAGGAUUCACCACAUUUUCGCGCCGAGGAGUUACAUCACCUACCUUGUUUAGCAGCUUCGAAAAAUAAGACCGAGCUUUCGGAUAAGUGCUUGCCAUCAAAGCUGAAAAUCAAUAAAAAACUUAGCAAAGUUAAAAAACACAUCCUAUAAAACAAGUAAAUGAAGAACAACCACCUACCAAUGAGAUCCUCUCGUGGAUGGGACGAAGUAUACAAUUGUAGCAAGGCGCGAGUGGGAACUUGGUACGAGAGGUGACUGAAAACUUCAAUAACAUGACGAUCGGCCGCCCCCAUUGAGUGAAAAGAUAUUGAAUUAAACUUCACGGGAUCUCUUGUCCAGUAAAGAGGAAAUUUUGGAGACUCUCCAUUGAAAAAAUACUCUUUCCCUAUCGGCUCUAUUAGAAUUUUGAAAAAACCUCCCUUAAAAUCCUUAUAUGAUGAUGUAAAAGGUUUAAGGAAGCAAACGUUGGAUUUACUAAUAAGAGAAAGCCAUCCUGGUCGUUUACCAGGCCGAGAACUAUAAUAAUACAGGAACGAAGCUGGACUAGGAGAAAGCGACAGUAAUUUACACAAAAUACUAAAAGCUUGCAUGGCAGCCCAACCAUUAGGAUGAAGCUGAGUAGGGGCAACAUUAAGAAAAUUAAGAACGCCUAUUUGAAAGUUUUUCAAAGGCAAUCGAAUAUGAAGGUCUCUAAAAAAGCAAGCAUAAAAAUAGAAAAACCGAGAGGUAUAGGCCGAGAACUACAUGUCCAAUAAUCAAAGUAAUAAAUUAAAACCGAAAGGUCUGGACCGAAACCUAAAAGGAUAAUAAAAAUCAUAAUAAAGCCCAAUUUAAAUAAGGAACUUGCACAAGGGGGUGUAAAAGUAAUAAAAAAGGUGUGAGAAGAAAGUCCAAAAGUACUGUAGAAGGCCCAUCAACGAAACCCUAUAAAUAGGAGGUCAGCACAAGAAAAAGGUAAGAGUGAUUUUAUCUGAAAAACCAUUACAUUGUUUCUGACUUUGGCAUCGGAGCGACUUGCAGGUACAUCCCCCCACCUGUGAGGAAUACCAACCGAAAGGAGUAGCCGAGAGGUGCAGCCGAGAGGAGCAGCCGAGAUGAAUAGCCGAGAGAAGUAGCCAAGAGGAGCAACCGCGAGUCCAGCCCAGUUGAGGAUCCAGCCCAAUAGGAAACCGAAAGUAUAGCCCGAAAUCAGAAGAUUUGUGAAAAAGGCCAUCUUGUUUCAGUUCGAGUGUUCUUGGUCCCUUUAUGUAAGAACAGCUAGUUAUCAAAUUCUACCUUUGUUUAUUCAAAUGUUGACAUACAACAUAAAUACCCCUUUUUUGUAUUAUAAACAUCUUUGGCUUUAAAUGAUGGGAAUUUAGUUGUGAGUCAACAAGUAAAAGCCAAACCUUCUUUAGGACAUUAUGAUAAAAAAAAUUUAAAUCACAUUGUUCCUGUAAAAGCUUGUGAUAUUUUCUUAGAACGACCUUGGAAUUUUCACAGUACUUUUGUUUACCACAUUUAUUUUAAUGAAAUUACUUUCACUUAUAGAGGAAAUAGGUUUGUUUUUAGUUUUUCAAUACCUUCACAAGUAAUGGAAACCAACUACAAACACAGUUGAAUUUUGAAAAUCUUUGUCGAUAGUUGAACCAAGCAUUAAAAUAAACUUUUUCUCCUUAGAACAAUCUUGCGAGGAGUUACUUGAUGUAUACCUUUUAUCUGGAGCUGAACCAGAUUUGGUUCCAACACCUUGUGAAGACUUGCUAGUAAUACACCAGGGCGAUCAACCGUUAAGGGACCUUCACAAGGUACAAAUACUAAAAACACCAAAUAAAUCUGAUACCCAUUUUACCCCGACACAUAAAAUAUUUUGCAUGCUUGUAUCAUCUGAUCGAGGUAAUUCUUCUUCAUGUUCUAUUUCUUCUUAUUCUACUUUAUUCUCCCCAUUUUGUGUGGUAUUUCUCUAUACAUGUUCCACACAACCUAAUUUGUUUGUUGUAUGUUUACAUAACAAUCAAUAUUUAGUCUUUUUUCAUUCUACUUAUGUUUAUUGUCUUUUUCAGGUGGAUCCACGAACCGGGUGGGUCUUGACUUCACUCAUUAAAAAUAAAGGUGACACUUUCACUGAAUCUGAGGACAUAUCCUUUUGAAGGAGGCAUCCUGAUGGAGAACCAUCCAAGACACCAUACACAAGAAUAAAAGAACAGACGACCUGUUUGUAUAUAUUUUAGAAUAAACCUGUAUAAGAAUUAUAUUUUGGUUUCUUUUCAAGAGUACUUUGUAGAUGAAAUAGAGACACUCUAGAAACCCUAACUUGUCACACAAGUAAGGAUUCCUAAAGAAUCUCAAAGGAGCAUACACUGCCUCCUUGAGCCACCACACCUCACCUUAGCUGAGUUCACUUAACUAGGAUUAUGGUAGCUUAAGAAGCAAGCUACCUUCAUCUAUAAAUACCCUAAAUCUCACUCAUGUAUGGAGAUUUGCAAAUAUUGAAAGAAAAGUUCAGGACUUCAUUCGCUCCCAAAUCUCUCUUGCUAGUGGGCCUAAUUGACUUAGUGAACCUAUGAAAAGUUGGCCAAACCUCUUUCCCUUGAUUGCACCUUCAACUCCACUGAAUUCUCUCAUCUUCUCUCAAUGUGGGUGCCUCUUCAUCACUCCAUUUUCGCUGCCACUUCAAUCAUUCCAUUAACCACAAACUUGGACUACAUCAACUAGCUUUUUGUUACACGUUAUAGGGUCGUGUGACUCUUUGCGAUAUAAAUGAUCUUUCAUCAUAAGAUUCAAAUAUGAGUAGUUUUCAGUAAUGAACUAGAUCCAUCAGGCGAAAUGAAUCCUUCAAACUUAAAUCACAAAGGCUUGCUCCCUUGAAACAAUUGAGUUUUAAUACCAUUGCUGAGAAACAAAACACAUACAUAUAAGCAAAAAAUUCCCCUCCAUUUGUGAUGGAUUCCUUGAAGUUAUCUUCGAGUUUCUUGAGACUGUUUGCCUAGACAAAAGACUUUGCUCCAGCUACUAUGAAAAGUACCAAAACUUAGGCUUGGGUUCGACUAUAUAGGUUUCCUUUGGAGUAUUAGAGAUCAAGGGCGAUUUUUUCCAUCAUCAAAGGUCUUGGUACUCCUUUGUAUUUGGAUGAGAAUACUAUGAGAAAGAAGAGGGGUAUGUUUUCUAGAGUGUUGGUGGAUAUUGAUAUGUUUCCCCUCUUUCCGAUCAACUCUUGGUUGAACGUUCGGACUACACUUUUGUAGUUGGAGUGGAAUAUGAAUGGCUAAUUCCUUUUUGCUCUCAUUGUAAGAUGAUAGGGCAUGAGCUUGCUCAGUGUCGGGUCAUACAUGAUCAGGCUCGUGUUCCUGGGCCUCAACAAAAAUCUUUUCAGAAGAUAGUUUCCGAUGAACGGGAUAAGGAGAGGACUGUGGUUCCUAAACAACGUCAAAAAUAUCGGAAGAAAGGUCUGUAGCCAAAGCUCGUGGAUGGCCCCACAGAUAAUUCAAACUUUGUUUUUUCUAACGAGGCUAAUGCAGGGUCACCCUUGGGUCACCUUGCUUCUAAUAAACCAGGAGGACUGGAGGAUGAUUUUGCUGAUAUGUCUCCUCUUGAGGAUGCCUCGGAUCAAGAAUCCAUGAAAGGGUUAUGCACUCAUACUUCGGAUUUUCCAGAACAAGGAAUGCUACCUGCUGUUAUGCAAGGCAAGGGCUCAGAGUCUCGUGCUCCUAUUGAGGAUCUUCAUGUGGAGGUCUCACCUCUUAUGGGGGAUCCAUCUCUUCAUAGGGAUACUUCACCUGUAGUUUCUACAACACCAUUCACUACUCCUAUGGAUGGUCAUCACACGUGUGCAAUUGUGAUUGUACCAUCCUCGUCGUUGGUCCUGCAAAAUCAUUUUUCCUCUCUCGAGGGUUUGGAAACUACAGAUGUGGGAGGUGAUCCUUAUAUUGGGGAGACAGAUUCGGGAUUGUAUUGGUAUUGCUUUAGAGGCUAUUAACAUGCUCUCUAAAAUGGUUUGAGGAGGUAAUGUGGCAUACAAAGUUGAUAUUCAUAAAGCCUUUGAUACUCUAAGUUGAAAAUUUUUAUUAUUAGUUUUGACACGCUUUGGUUUUCACCCAUCGUUUGUCGGUUGGAUUAGUACUAUUCUCCGGUCCGCUAUGCUUUCUAUCAGAAUAAAUGGCAAUCUGGUGGGUUUUUUUCCUUGUAGUAGAGGAGUUAGACAAGGUGAUCCUUUGUCUCUUCUACUUUUCUGUCUUGUAGAGGAAGUUCUUAGUAAAGGUCUUUCUAAGCUUGUGAAUGAUAAGAAGAUUCUACAUAUGGUUGGUUCGCAAGGUUUUCUCACUCCCUCCCAUGUUUUGUAUGCUGAUCACAUUUUUGUUUUCUGUAGGGCGAAUAAUAAGUCUCUUAGAAAUUUGAGUACUUUUCUUAAAACAUAUGGUGAUUUCUCGGGUCAAUAUGUUAACAAUUCUAAUAGUAGUUUUUUCACCAUCGAUAAUUCUGCAAGAUUUGUCACCAAAAUUCAACGUAUUCUUUCUUAUAGCCAUGGUUGUUUGCCUUUCAAUUAUUUAGGAGUGUUUAUCUUUGUUGGUGCUCCAAAAAGUCGUUUUCUGCAACCUUUGGCGAAUAAAGUCAAAUUAAAGCUAGCAUCUUGGAAAAGUAAAUCUCUUAGCAUGAUGGGUCAGAUUCAGUUGGUCAAUACGGUGAUUACGGGAAUUCUAGCAUAUAGCUUUAAUUUGUAUAAAUGGCCUCUUCUUAAGCAAGUUGAGCAGUGGUGUCAAAAUUUUUUAUGGACUGGAGAUAUUCUGUAGAAAGGCAUAGCUACUGUUAAUUAGGCUACGAUUUGUUCUCCCCUUGAGAAUGGAGGUUUGAAGAUUAUUAACCUUCACCAUGAAAAUAAUGCAUAUCUUCUUAAGCUUGCUAGGAACUUUGCUUAUAGCAACAGGUCUUGGUCUUUGCUCUUGAAAGUCAAGGUUCUUAAAUCAAAAUACGAGUUUAAAAUGGUUUAUAGAUCCUCAUCUCUUUGGCCUAGAAUUAAGCAGUUUUAUUUUACUAUACUUGAUUAUACUUCUUGGACUGUUGGUACAGGUUCUUUUAUUAAUUUCUGGAAUAAUAAAUGGUGUUCUACUACUCCUUUAGCACAUAUUGUAGGUUUAUCUGAUGGUAUUAGCAUUCUGGAUACAGUUUCUCAGUUUUGGACAGGUCGUGAUUGGAAUAUUUUGUUGUCUUUACAGCAGAUGCCUCAUCUUUUUAGUCAUAUCAUAGUUAGGGCGGAUCAGGAUGUUCCUAAUUGGAUUCUAGAUGGGUCUGGUCGGUUCACUCUUCAAUCGGCUAGGAUUUUUUUCUUAGAACCAGGAGUUCCCUGUGGUUGUGGUAAAUUUAUUUGGUCUUCAGAUAUCCCACCUUCCAAAACUCUUGUCCUUUGGAAAGUUUUUCAUGGGCGGCUUCCUACAGAUCAACAUAUUCAAAAUAAAGGUCUCCAUAUUUGUUCUAUGUGUACGCUUUGUGAAAAGCAUGAGGAAUCUCUUCAUCAUUUAUUUUUUGAAUGCCCUAAUGCUUUGUAUAUUUGGAGUUGGGUUCAACAGAUUUUUCUUACUUCUCAUUUCUCUAAUAAGGAUGAUAUUCUUUCAUUUAUUAAGAGUGAUGGUAGUCCUUUGGUUAAAUUGAUUAAACUUGUUGUGAUAACUUUUUCUAUUUGAAUGUUAUGGCGUAUGAGGAAUUAUGCUCGUUUUCAGGAUAAGAUUGAGGUUUCUAGGGCUAUUUCAAUUAUUAAAGAUUUAACUUGUCUAGUGGGAAAGUUGUCUAAAGCUUCAAUGAAGAAUGAUAUGAUGGAUUUCAGUUUGAUUAAGUUUUUUGGUAUUAAUACUCGUACUGGUAAAGUUCGUCGUCCUCUUCCUGUUAGAUGGGAUUUUUCUUCACCAGGAUGGGUUAAAAUUAACACUGAUGGGGCUGCUAGGGGUUCUUCAGGUCUUGCCACUUGUGGGGGUAUUUUCCGUGGGAGUAUGGGGGAGUUUAUUGGAACUUUCUCUGUGUUUCUUGCGUUUAGACUGCUUUGGUUGCUGGAUUUUAUGGAGUUAUAUAUGCUUUGGAGGAAGCUCAAAAGUUGGGACUAACUAAUGUCUGGCUGGAAUGUGACUCUACCUUGGUUUGUGUUGCGUUUACUGCUAGGACAAAUGUUCCUUGGAUGUUUCGUAAUCGAUGAAAUAUUUGUCUUAAUUACUGUGGAAAAAUCAGGUUUAGGGUUACUCAUAUUUUUCGUGAAGGGAAUGUGUGUGCUGAUAAGUUGACUAAUUUAGGAUUUAUUCAUAAAGAAUUCUUUCAUUGGUAUAAUAGGCUUCCAUCUAGUCUGUUCUUAGAAUUCUUUAUUAAUAGGUAUAGUCUACCUAUGUAUCGCUUUUGUUAACAUAUGAAUUUUGGUCUAGUCCUCCCAUAUUUUUGUAUUUUUUUUUAAUAAUACAUUUUUCAUGUGAUGGCAAAUGAUUGUUGUUACUUAAGGUGUCAUGUGUCAACCUAACUGAGAUGUCAAGUAACAUAGUAAUGUCUAAUAUGAAAGUUUUUUAUAAAAAAAAAUUCCCCUCCAUAAAUGUAACUUAAAAUAGGUUUGUGAGAAAUAAUAAUAAAAGAAAAGGAUAACACACAAACCUUUUCACGUGAAAAACUUACUCAAUAAUGGGAUCAAGUUUUUUUUUUUCUUUAUAACAUCCCUUUUUUCACUACCCAUUCCUAAAUAAUUGUUUUCAAUAGAUUGAGAGAAUUUCACUAUUUAUUCGAUUGGAGUAUUCUCUUUUUGCUCGAUUUAUAGUCUCUAACUCCAAUUCAAUAAACAUUAGAUGUGCUUUUAUUUGUGAGAUGAUACGUCAACUAAAUAUAAUAUCAAAUCAUAAUAUAUAAUUAUAUAUAAAUUUUUUCUUACAAAUCAAUUUUAUAAAAUUAAAUUAAACUUAAAUAUAUUUCUUAAAAUAUAUAAAAAUCAUUUAAAAUAUUUUCUAAUAAAAGUUGGUUGAACUUAUUAAAAGAUAAAAAAAAAUUACAGUGAAUUUGAUUUUUUUAAUUCUAACUUCCCGUGACAAUGGGAUGGUUUUUCUAAAACCCGGGCAGAAGCAUCAAAGGGGAAAAUAGAAAAAUUGUAAUUAUUAUUUUUUUUCUAUCAGUAAAUAAUUGUACCUAUUAUUUUACAGCAAUAAUUCCAUAUUAAUUGUACCUAUUUUUUGAUCAGCAAUAAUCCCAUAUUAUAAUUAUUAUUGUACCCGUUUAUUUUGCUAUUGAGGUAUUAUCAAUAUAUAAAAAAAAAUAAUGUGUAUAUAAAUUGUUAUUAAUCUUGACUCCUAAGCAAUAUGGGAUUAUUGAGUGUACAGGAACAAGUUUCUAGUCGAGUUCUAAUGGGAACAAAUUAUCUUUAGUUGAAGGCUAAUAGAACGGAGGUUUAUCUUUGAAACCUUGUUUUGUUUUCACAUACAGUGUCAAUGUUCCGAUUUCAAAUUCGUUGAGAUAGCAUGUUUUGGAACUUAGAAUUUCGUCACGGUUGUCUUUAAAAAGUGUCUUGGUGAGUUAAGAGAGGAAGAUGUAUAUAAAUUGAAAUUAAGUUUAAAGAUAAAAAUAAUUAAUUAUUAUAUUAACUAAAUUAUAUAUAUUAUUAUAAAGAUUACAAAAAUUAUUGAUAUUUCAAGUAAUUUUUAUUAUUAAUAAAAUUUAUAAAUUAGUAUACUAUAAAUUUUUAAUUAUAAUUCAUUUAUAGAAUAGAUGACAUGUUCCAUGAUACUUGAGAAGCUAUAUGUUUUCCCAUUUUGUCAAGAAUUUAACUCUUAUCAUUUGUAUGAACAAAAAUAUUGCCUCUUGUAUUUUAAUAAUCUUAAGAAAUGAAGCUGAAUAAUAAAUUUUUAUCUCUAAUAUAAUUAAAUAAAAAAUACAAUAUCUUGUAGAGUCACAACUUAACCUUUAUUUGAUGUGGUGUUGAAUCUGAUUACAAUCCAUAUUUGGAGUGAUUGUGAAAACACAUGGGAUAACACAUGCAAUAGCAAUAAAUGGUAAGUGUGAAGUUGGCAAUAAUAUUUAUGGUAAAGAAAGAGAAGGGAAAAUGGAAAAGAAGACAAAAGAACCAGAAACAGGAAGAAAGGUAGCUUGUUGCAUCUUUAUGCAUCGUGCAUAGUGCUUCAAGAUAAGGCCAUGACCCAGUUGCCCUUUCGUUCUCCCAUUUGAUCCCUCAUCAUCCAUUCCUCUUCACAACACAACACAUUGAAACGACACAAACAUCAUAAACCUCUGAGAUGGCGGAACUGAGGAACAGGCAAGUGGUUCUGAACAACUAUGUUGUUGGUUUUCCCAAAGAAUCAGACAUGAGCAUUGUUGAAGGAACCAUAACAUUGAAGCUUCCAGAAGGUUCCUCUGAUCUUCUCCUCAAAAAUCUCUACCUCUCAUGCGAUCCCUACAUGCGAUUCCUCAUGACCAAGGAGGACAACCCUUUGGGAAUUGGCGCCUACAAGCUUUACUCU
rnacentral:lncRNA from 1 species